rnacentral:rRNA from 1 species
AUUGAACGCUGGCGGAAUGCUUUACACAUGCAAGUCGAGCGGCAGCGCGGGGCAACCUGGCGGCGAGCGGCGAACGGGUGAGUAAUACAUCGGAACGUGCCCAGACGUGGGGGAUAACUACUCGAAAGAGUGGCUAAUACCGCAUACGAUCUAAGGAUGAAAGCGGGGGAUCGCAAGACCUCGCGCGUUUGGAGCGGCCGAUGGCAGAUUAGGUAGUUGGUGGGAUAAAAGCUUACCAAGCCGACGAUCUGUAGCUGGUCUGAGAGGACGACCAGCCACACUGGGACUGAGACACGGCCCAGACUCCUACGGGAGGCAGCAGUGGGGAAUCUUCCGCAAUGGACGAAAGUCUGACGGAGCAACGCCGCGUGAGCGAAGAAGGUCUUCGGAUCGUAAAGCUCUGUCAUUCGGGACGAAGUUGCCUAUUGCGAACAGUGGUAGGCAGUGACGGUACCGAAAGAGGAAGCCACGGCUAACUACGUGCCAGCAGCCG